rnacentral:rRNA from 1 species
AACGGACUCAUAUUGAAACCUAGUGAUUUAUGAGUUAGUGGCGGACGGGUGAGUAACGCGUGGAAAACCUGCCGUAUACCGGGGGAUAACACUUAGAAAUAGGUGCUAAUACCGCAUAAGCGCACAGCUUCGCAUGAAGCAGUGUGAAAAACUCCGGUGGUAUACGAUGGUUCCGCGUCUGAUUAGCUAGUUGGCGGGGUAACGGCCCACCAAGGCAGCGAUCAGUAGCCGGCCUGAGAGGGUGAACGGCCACAUUGGGACUGAGACACGGCCCAAACUCCUACGGGAGGCAGCAGUGGGGAAUAUUGCACAAUGGGGGAAACCCUGAUGCAGCGACGCCGCGUGAGUGAAGAAGUAUUUCGGUACGUAAAGCUCUAUCAGCAGGGAAGAAAAUGACGGUACCUGACUAAGAAGCCCCGGCUAACUACGUGCCAGCAGCCGCGGUAAUACGUAGGGGGCAAGCGUUAUCCGGAUUUACUGGGUGUAAAGGGAGCGUAGACGGCAGCGCAAGUCUGGAGUGAAAUGCCGGGGCCCAACCCCGGAACUGCUUUGGAAACUGUGCAGCUUGAGUGCGGGAGAGGUAAGUGGAAUUCCUAGUGUAGCGGUGAAAUGCGUAGAUAUUAGGAGGAACACCAGUGGCGAAGGCGGCUUACUGGACCGUAACUGACGUUGAGGCUCGAAAGCGUGGGGAGCAAACAGGAUUAGAUACCCUGGUAGUCCACGCCGUANACGAUGAUUACUANGUGUCGGGGGACCAAGGUCCUCCGGUGCCGGCGCAAACGCAUUAAGUAAUCCACCUGGGGAGUACGUU